rnacentral:rRNA from 1 species
UCCGUAGGUGAACCUGCGGAAGGAUCAUUAAAGAAAUGAACCUUGAGACUGUCGCUGGCCCCUCCUGCAGAUGGAGUUGGCAUGUGCACGUCUCUGGUCAUUACCAAUUCCACCUGUGCACACUUGUAGACACUUGGGAAUGAGAGACAUAGGCUGGUUGGCUGGUCUCUUGAGAGAGAGAAAUGAAAAAAAUCUGGGUGUCUAUGCCAUUUUUAUUAAACACUAGUUGCAUGUUUAUAGAAUGAAUGAUGAUUUGAUUGAAUAUGAAAUACAACUUUCAACAACGGAUCUCUUGGCUCUCGCAUCGAUGAAGAACGCAGCGAAAUGCGAUAAGUAAUGUGAAUUGCAGAAUUCAGUGAAUCAUCGAAUCUUUGAACGCACCUUGCGCUCCUUGGCAUUCUGAGGAGCAUGCCUGUUUGAGUGUCAUUAACAUCAAUACCUGUCUGCUUUUGAUGGGUAUUGGAAAUUGGGGGUUGCAGGGCUUGUAUAGCUUUGCUCUCCUUGAAUGUAUUAGUGGAGAAAAAGAAAGCUCAUUGAACUCCAUUGGUGUGAUAAAAUCUAUCAAUACCAGGAACAAUGUCCAAGUUUCUCUGCUCUCUAAUCCAUGUCCAGUUUGGACCUCAUUUGACCAACUUGACCUCAAAUCAGGUAGGACUACCCGCUGAACUUAAGCAUAUCAAUAAGCGGA